GAUGAACGCUGGCGGCGUGCUUAACACAUGCAAGUCGAACGGGAUCCAUCAGGCUUUGCUUGGUGGUGAGAGUGGCGAACGGGUGAGUAAUGCGUGACCGACCUGCCCCAUACACCGGAAUAGCUCCUGGAAACGGGUGGUAAUGCCGGAUGCUCCGACUCCUCGCAUGGGGUGUCGGGAAAGAUUUCAUCGGUAUGGGAUGGGGUCGCGUCCUAUCAGGUAGUCGGCGGGGUAACGGCCCACCGAGCCUACGACGGGUAGCCGGCCUGAGAGGGCGACCGGCCACAUUGGGACUGAGAUACGGCCCAGACUCCUACGGGAGGCAGCAGUGGGGAAUAUUGCACAAUGGGCGCAAGCCUGAUGCAGCGACGCCGCGUGCGGGAUGACGGCCUUCGGGUUGUAAACCGCUUU
rnacentral:rRNA from 1 species